UCUGUAAACGCUGUUUAUCAAAUAUGGCGCAGGUUUUUGACAGUUUGGAAGAAACAAGAAAUUAUAUUCACGAAGAAGAGGUCAAAGUCAAUAGCAAAUUCCUGUUUUACAAGUCAAGGAAACAAACAUUUGGUUUCGGCAAAAGAUGUUGGGAUUAUCUUUGAAGACCGCAGAGUUACCAUCUGAGAACACAGAUACAAAUGUGGCACAGGAAAAGAAAAGUAUGCGUUGCUCGGUACUUGCCCGAAUCAAAUAGGUUGUCUUCCUUCACAAGUACCAGAUUGUGGAACCUGUCACCCUGGCAGGCAGAAGGGCUUUGAUAGAUGAGAUCAGAAAGAGGCCCCUGGAACCUGAUGAUAAACUUGUGCAGGUGUAUGUUGCGAUCUCUGGCGAGCACAACUUUCAUCCAAAGCCGGCCGAGUUCAUAGCCACAAGAUUGUUUCCUGUGGAUAUUAGCAGUGCGCAUGAAAUUCCUGCUUUAGAAGAGAAUGUGCAAACUGAUGAAACUAUCGAAGAGUGGUUUGCCAUUCAGGGUCUGAAGCAGUACAUAGACACAUUCAAGGAACAUCAGAUCUUCACUGUACAACAGCUGGCCUCUAUCACAGAACAGGACCUGAUAAAAAUGGAAAUUAAGAAAACCCAUAUACCAAAACUGUGGAAGAAGAUGUGUAUUCUUCAUAACCAAAUGAAACAAACUAAUAGAUGCACGAGAUCCUUAGGGUAUAAAAACGGUCAUGGAGUGGAUACGAAUGAUCAGUGGAUGGAAAACUAUAAUGACCAUGAGGAUGAAGACAAUGAAAUGCAUAUGGAGCCAAACAGUCAACAAUAUAUAUAUAUAUAUAUAUGUCAUUCCAAAAUGUGCUCAAGUGGUUCCCCACGAUCCUAAUAUGACCGCUGAAGAUAAACAGACAGUGAUGUUUACAGAAAAUACCGUAGUAAGGGAAAGUGAGGCAUGUCCCGGUUUUGAGGAAUUUACCACUUACACAUACAGGCAUACUGUGACAGUGAGUUUGGUGAAAGUGGAGAAAUAUCUUAAAAAGUGCCCGGUUAAAAGUCCAAAUACGAGACAAAAGUUUAGCUAGCAUUGAAUAUGAGAACAUUCUUGGUCAUUCAGCUCUAAAGAUAUUAUUUGAAUAACUAACCACCUACAAUUCUCUAUAAAAUUGGCCAUUAAAUAUAACUUACGUUUAUAAAGUCUUGUAAGUCUUGUGAAUAUAGAACUAUUUAGAACUUAACUCAUUGCCAGUUACCAACAACUUUUUUACCUUUAUAUGAUUUGUAUUUCACAUUUUAAUUUAUUUUUUCCUUUUGAUAAAAAAUCUGGAGUAACACUAAUCUUGAUGACAAUUCACAACCCUGCCCUUUUAGAUUUUUUUUUGUGUACCUGUAAAUUAGCAACAAACCCUUGUUCACAGAGUUCCGAAUAACACCUAUAGAAUACAAAUUAAUUUAAUGGUAAAAUGAGGGGAAGUUGUUGGAUCGUAUGGUUCAGGCGGGUGCUUCUUAAAGCAAGCAGAGUGAAUGCCAGGCAUUUAGUGACAUCUUUGACAACUAGAGGGCCAACAUUCUUGAAUAUCUGUUGCUAUGAGAGAAGCUUUUUUCUGUAAAAACGUGUUUCUGAGUCUGUCAAAACUGUAAAUUAUUUUAUAAUUUUAUAACUUGCCAUGUGUGCACUUUUUUAACAGGGCUAUAUAUACUUAAAUAUACAUACAUGUAGUAGGUGUGGUAUAACUUUAUAAAUUAUAUAAUUACUAAUAUUCUGCCAAACAAUGUAACAUUACUGUUUGACCUUGACGUCACUUCCUAUGAAAUGUUUUUGUUUACAUUCAUUCUACUUAUGAAGGCUAUGGCCAAAACAUGUUUAGUAUUUAAAAAAAAAGUAAAUAAAUAAACAAAAGUAACAAGUUUGUACAGAUUAUUUCAUUUUAUUGGCAUAUUUCUUGAAUGCUCUUAUACAAAAUGCUCUAGUUUUUAGCUUUUGUGAUCGCCUUUUGUCCGUCGUCAACACUUUCCUUGUUAACACUCUAGAGGCCACAUUUAUUGUCCAAUCUUCAUAAUAUUUGGUUAGAACAUUGGUCUCAAUAAUAUCUUGGAUGAGUUCGAAAAUCAUCAGGUUACGUUUGCUUGAAAAACAUGGCUGCCAAGGGGCGGGGCAUAUUAAAUGAUAUGGCUAUAUAUGGCUAUAGUAAAAUCUUGUUAACACUCUAGAGGCCACAUUUGUUGUCGGAUCUUCAUGAAACUACUGGGUCAGAAGAUUCAUCCCAAUAAUAUCUUGGAUGAGUUCGAAUAUGGCUUCGGUUGCGUGAUAAACAUGGCCACCAGAGGGCGGGGCAUUUUUCUUAUAUGGCUAUAUAUGGCUUUGGUAAAACCUUGUGAACACUCUAGAGGCCACAUUUAUUGUCCAAUCUUCAUGAAAUUUGGUCAGAAGAUUUGUCUAAAUGAUAUUUUGGAUGAGUUCGAAAAUGGCAACGUUUGCUUGAAAAACAUGGCUGCCAAGGAGCGGGGCAUUUUUCCUUAUAUGGCUAUAGUAAAAUCUUGUUAACACUCUAUAGAGGCCAGAUUUAUUGUCCGAUUUUCAUGAAACUUGGUCAGAUGAUUCAUCCCAAUAAUAUCUUGGACGAGUUAAAAAAUGAUGCCGGUUGGUUGAAAAACAUGGCCGCCAGGGGGCGGGGCAUUUUUCCUAAUAUGGCUAUAGUAAAACCUUGUUAACACUCUAGAGGCCACAUUUAUUUUCGGAUCUUCAUGAAACUUGGUCAGAAGAUUUAAAAACAUGGCCACCAGGGGGCGGGGCAUUUUUCCUUAUAUGGCUAUAGUAAAAUCUUGUUAACACUCUAGAGGCCACAUUUAUUUUCCGAUCUUCAUGAAUCUUGGUCAGAAGAUUGGUCUCAAUGAUAUCUUGAAUGAGUUCGAAAAUGGUCUUGGUUGCUUUAAAAACAUGGCCGUCUGGGGGCGGGGCAUUUUUCCUAAUAUGGCUAUAUAUUGCUUUAGUAAAACCUAAUUAACACACUAAGUGCCACAUUUAUUGUCCGAUCAUCAUGAAAAUUGGUCACAAGAUUUGUACCAAUGAUAGCUUGGAUGAGUUCAAAAAUGGUCGAAAAUUUGCCAAGGGGGCGUGGCAUUUUUCCUUAUAUAGCUAUAGUAAAACCUUGUUAACACUCCAGAAGCCAUAUUUAUUGUCCAAUCAUCAUGAAUCUUUGUCAGAAGAUUAGUCCCAAUGAUAUCUUGGACAAGUUCGAAAAUGGUUUCAUUUGCUUAAAAAACAUGGUCACCAGGGUCGGGGCAUUUUUCUCAUAUGGCUUCAUGAAACUUUGUCAGAAUAUUUGUUUAAAUGAUAUCUUGGAUGUGUAUGAAAAUGGUUCUGGUCUGUUCAAAAACAUAGCUGCUAGUCAUGAAAGUUGGUAAGCACAUUUUGUUCUAAUGACAUCUUGGGCUGCACAGAACAGGUCAGUUCCUUUAAAUCUCAGGUGAACGACUUCGGGCCUUUUAGGCCCUCUUGUUCUUCAAAUUUGCGAUUGUUAUGCCUGUCAUUUUAUAAUGAUGAAUGGAAUAUAUGUAGGUUUAUCUCUGUCUGUGAGUGUGUUUGUUUUAGCCUGAGAUAUACUGUCCAGAUCAUAAUUUGUGUGUGCAUUUAAGAUUUUUGAAAAAUGCACAAACCAUGAUCAUUUAAGGAUUAAGUCACAUGCAACUAUCAUGACCAUCACUUCAUGGUCACAGUGGACACAUACAUUUUUACAUUUUUCUAUAAGAAAUUAUAUUUGUGUCCUGCUCAUCACUUUGUUGUGCAAGAUGGGAUUUCAAAAUAAACUGGCUCAAAUGAUCAUCAUAGUAAGACUAUGUGCAAAAACAACUAUGCCGCUUGCUUACAGGUCAAGGUUACAGUGGACACAUUGAGGUUUUGAAUAUUGCUCAGAUUGGCAAGAAUGCCAUGGUCACAAUGAUAUGCCAGUCAUUAAAAAAACAUUUUUGAUAAAGUCUCAAUUGUUUUUCUUAUUUGAUCUUUAAUAGUUACUCAGACUCACAACCCCGUGAUAAGUUAUU